rnacentral:lncRNA from 1 species
GUUGGAGGAGUUUAGGGUUUAAAAGAUAAAAAGUAAAUGCAUAAUUGUUCGAUUUGAUUGGGUUGACCUCAAUCGGCUGUGGCCCUUCGUAAAUACAGGGUGGGGAGGUCCUGCCUCCCAGUAGGAGUUGAACCUCGUACAAAUCCAGUGUCAAAAUACAAUUCCUAACUUGGAUUAGGUGUGGAUUUUGUCAGAGGUAUAACUCUCUCAUCCGGACUUCAAUUGGGCGUUCUACAUAUGCAUUUCGAUCGUCUCGACGAGAUCCAUGCAAUGGUGAGGUAUAAUUAGAAUUUUACAAUGUUUAUAAAACCGAUCUGACCGGUUUAAGGACCAGUCUACGCAGAUCAGCCUGCUGCAAAUCCAAGUGCUGCCAAUUUUGAUCGUCAAUGGGUACCAUCCCGCGCCAGUAUAGCUAUUCCACGACCGCAAGUUUCCUCCCAUCGACACACUAGUCAUCUAACCCUCCAAACGAAUUCUUCAUGAUCCUAGGCAUGUUUUCCUCUCGUUUAGUAACGGUGAGCUAUUCCUGCUGGAAUCACAUUCCUCGUUGCUCGUUGUCCGGGUCACUGCCUCGAGCAGAGCAGCUUGAAGUGCGGGUUGUGUUGCCAUGUUUUUUUUCUUUUACCUUAAUUUCUAUAGAAUAAGAGAAUUAUGAGUUUCUGUUCCUUUUUGUUGAUAGUUUCUUGUUGCAAGACGGUGCGGAGAGGUCGUAUUGCGAAUUUGUGAUAGGAUCGGGGACGGGUGCUUGCUUUUGUCCCAGCCGGCUGCCCAUAAUAUGCUUUAUUGAUCACUAUCUUCAAAUUAUGAUCCAUUAAAUCAAUUAUGUUCAUUUUUUAUUUUUUUCGUCGACAAGUAAUUUUAGCCCUUGAGGUUAAACAUGUUUGUUGUCUGCUCUGUUUUUUUGCCAAUAAGGUAUUAGCCGUAAACAUGUGAAUUUGCACGGCAUGGUACAAUAUGAUGUUGAGCUCUACAG